ensembl:lncRNA
GAGAGCGAAAGGAGAAAACGGUGAAAAGAGUCAAAGGGAGAAGACGGUGAAGACUGGAGUGUGCUCGGAGCACAGCGAUGCCUCCAUCUGCUAUGAGCCACACUCUUCUUUGAUGGAAUAUCCCGGACAGCGGAGGGCAGAAGGAGGGAGAAGAAAAAGAAGGAGAAGAAGAAGAAUAACAGGACUGAGAAGACGGGACGGCCAGCGCUCGCCUCAGGAGGCUCCAUCCAAGCUCAUUGUCCUCUCAAACGCGCACACACCUCGCCACUGAGAGUGUUGCGUACACGUGCGUGCAUGAGGACGGGGGUGUGUGUGCGGCCGGUCUUUCUACGCAGCAGCGCAGCCCGGCACCAGCUUUCACUCUGAGGUUCACGUAGAUGCGGUGCAUCAGAUAGGACAUGCCCUUCACCUGCGCCUGCUUCUGUGGCCUUAAUGGCUUCUGCCGCAGACGGAGGAAGAAGAAAAGUGAUCAAGUGGAGGAUGAGGAGUGUGAAGAGGUAGAGCAAUGGAGGGAUCAGGAGACACAGGUGUGACAGCAUUGCUGUCAGCCCAGCUGUCUUCGCCUUUUCUGUGGGAUUUAUCCCUAAUGGACCGAAAUGUGUGGCCUGGGUUAUCACUGCUCAGGACAGCCUCCACUGUCUGGUAUGCUGCCUGGCGACAUUAUAACAGAGAUGGUAAAGGGGGUUCAACGAGCACAGGCUUUUAUUUAAAGUUAAAAAAAGAAAAGAAAGAAAAGGUGGUUUCGAAUCAGGUACUGUAUUUUUCCCAGAGUAUCGGUGACUAACACUUCUUCUUUUGUACUUUUUAACCUGGCUAAACUCAACAAGCACAAGGCUGUCUUGAGCCACGCUCUUCAAGUUGAAAAUAAAAGCCUGCGAACUCCUCGCUCAUGCCCAUUACACAUCCCUGCAGCACUCUCAUUUCUCCCUUGGCAGCUGACUGAGAACUUUGCUUUUGCUGAUGUGAUUCCAAAAAAAGAGAAAAAAAAUCGUAUCUGUUUGAUUAAUUUCUUGCCAUAGCUGGCGUUCCUCACAAGGUGCGAAGAGGCGAUGGACUCUAGAAAUCCAUUAUUUUUCUGAGUCGCACUCCUCACCGCUCCUCCGCGGGGGCUGAAUUAGAGCCAAAGCUCGACUGAGCUCUGCACCUCCUCACCUACCUGCUUAUGUCAGAUCAACUUAGUGAAAACUUCAGCUGAGUGAGAAAGUGUGCAGUAAUUUCCAGAGUCACCCAUGGAGGGCCGGAGCCCAUCUCGGCUUUUCACGCUGCGCUGGGCUCCAUCUAAAGCCAAGCAGCUGUCCAAUCAGCAGCUUAGCUGGAGUGUGAAGAUAGGAGUCAGGG